rnacentral:rRNA from 1 species
CAAUAGCGUAUAUUAAAGUUGUUGCAGUUAAAAAGCUCGUAGUUGGAUUUCUGGUGGGAGCGAUCGGUCUGGCGCUUAGCGCGAGUACUUGCAUCGUCUCCGGCCAUCCUUGGGGAGAGUCUGUCUGGCAUUAAGUUGUCGGGCAGAGGAUCCUCAUCGUUUACUGUGAAAAAAUUAGAGUGUUCAAAGCAGGCUUAUGCCGUUGAAUAUAUUAGCAUGGAAUAAUAAGAUAGGACUUUGGUACUAUUUUGUUGGUUUGCGCACCAAAGUAAUGAUUAAUAGGGACAGUUGGGGGUAUUCGUAUUCCGUUGUCAGAGGUGAAAUUCUUAAAUUUAUGGAAGACGAACUACUGCGAAAGCAUUUACCAAGGAUGUUUUCAUUAA